AGCUAAAAUCACUUCGUAAAAUAUAUGAAUGUUGUCAUCAUACAAAUUCUUACUUAGGGGGUAGAGGUUAGGGCGAAUUUAAGCCCCUUCCCCACCCCUAAUACUCCCUCGUCUAUAAAUAAAAAUAACUAAUAAUAAGAAUUCGAAAGAGCAGUCAURUGUAUAUUCGAUAAGGAAAUUGUUUACCUUGAUCCAUGAAAUAUAUAUUCUGAUUUGUUUGCAAUAAGACCUCGUAAACUGGUUGUCCAGUAAAUUAUUCGUACUCAAGUAACCCUCAUUUUGGGUCAUUUAUAUCUUUUUUAUUUAUUCAAGAUUCUGUCAUUCAGAUCUCCGUGUCCCAAUAUCAUGCUUGAUCAGAUAUGCAAAUUACAGUGAAGGAAGUUGUUGGAACAAAAGUAUGGAGGCUUCACAAGUACUAAAGCCAAUUUUAUGUGGUUAAAUAAAAUAUUUAAGCAAAGUUAGACUUGAACUAAGUUGCCUGUUAUCGCGAGUAUCUGUCAACGAUGAAAUAUUUUUCCAUUUAAAAAAUCCCAAAUAUGAAAACUUUUAUAUAUUAAUUGUGUUGGUUGACAAGUUUGCUUCAUGAAUCCCUUYUAUACUACUGUAUACUCACGUAGCAUCGAUUGGAAAAUUUUAAUACGAUAUAUUACUCUAAUUUGUUUAAACACGUAUGGUUGAGGAGCUGUUGCUCGUUAAAAGAAUAUGAAAAUAUGUAUAUGUGAAAAAAUGCUAAUGGCACCCUUUAUUUAACUCACGGCACGAACACGGUCGUGACAUGAUGGCGAGCAUCUUUUUGUGCAGAAAAUGGCAGUAGUUCAAGGUUUGGCCACAUUAUUCUACAUCAUUUCUGUUACUACGUUUGUCUGGG